GUGGCCUUGAGCUCCCACAUGGCUGCAGGCAUGUCUGGGGGCUGGAGCGUGCCCGGGGAGGGGCUCCAAGAGUGGGUGGGGUCAGCACCACCUCCCUCCACUACACACCCCACCUGGACUUGCCAUCACUGCCCUGUUACAUCUGAGCUUUUCUUCACCCUGGAUUGAGGACAGGGCCGGGUGCUCCUUCCUGACCCCCCUCCCCGCCCCCUUUGCCUCCCGCACAUCUCGUCGUGGAAGGCUGGGAGGGCCGCCUUCAUCACCCGCAUGAUGAAACUUCUGAAUAUUCGGACGUGGGCUCCUGGCUGGAGGUGUCAUGUCUUUCCCUCUGUUGUUGGUCUGGAGACAACACGGGCUCCCUGGUUUACCUGUGUAGUCCCAGGGCGUCUCAGGUGCCAGGAGCCGCUGCGGUGAUCGCCUCGUCUCCUGUCAGAUGUGGUUGGAGAGAGACGAGGACAGCAUGACCACUGGGCACCGCACACUACAGAGGUCAGCUUGCAAGGACAGCGGGACGGCGGUGAUGUGGCCGUGACUAGUUGUCAAGAUAUGACCGGGGCGUUUACUGAGGACUUCCAGGACAAAAACAAGCAUUCGGGUGCACCCUGGUUGCUUAUGGUGCUGUAAAACCUGCUCCAGAUGUCAUAUUUCUCCUCUGACAGUGAAAUGUCAGAGACCAAACAGAUAACACACUUCAAAAAUAUAGUACGGCCCCCAAAGCCAGCCAGCCACCUCGUCUGGUAUUCGACAGAAGAAGGAAUAACUGACCAAAGAUGGAGGAAGGUGAAUAUGCUGCACUUAGCAGGAGAAGGAUGUUGGUGUCCGAUGCUAUGCUGUCUUAAGGGUCUUCUGAGGCCCACACAGAUGGCCCUGUAUGUGCUGACUUGGGACCCUCACUCCAUGUAAGUUCUGAUUCCACUGCCUGUGUAGACAGCAGGGAGGGUGGCAGGAAGACGGAAGGAACUCCCGAGUGUGACAUAGUCCUCGGAUUUAUUUCCCAUCCACAGAGUUGCCCCUGGUGCUCCCCAGGGAGAACAGUGGCUGACACUUGCCAAUCUGGCUCUGACUCCCACAGGUUUCCUCGGCAGAGAGAGGGCAUCUCAGGCUACCUUCUCAAGCCAGUUUGGGUCAACAGGGCAUCACAGGUCACCUGUCGGAAGAGAGCUGGAGGCUGGGAUCCAGCUGGAAGUUGUGAAUCUGGUAUGGCUCCAUCUUACAGAGGAUUUGUGUUGGUGAAGAUUGGGAGUUAUUUUAUUCUUUCGUUAUGGGUCGUUUCAGCAGCACCCCUCAUGAUGCCCUUACUUGGACUCACCAGAUGUCGUUGUAGAAAUGGCUCAUAGUGGAACCCUCCCAUUACUGGAGGCACGCUCUUUCUUCCCAAAUGAAGGAGAAGUCACCCCUUUGGGUCUUGAAGCCGGUGGAUGCAGCUGAGACCUGGAUGCUAAGGAAGUAUCCAGAUGAAGUUUGAAUGUCUGAAGAUGAGUCCAUCAGCCUUAAUUUGCACUGCAUCACAUUUGCAAGUUGCAAAAUGGAAUUUGCAAUUGCUUUUCAGCAAUGUUCAAAUUAGCACUUCUUAGCAUAUUAAUGAGCUACUUUUUUUUUUUUUUCAUUAUGUGACCAAUUUUAAUGUAAAUAGCAGUCUCCAUGCAAAGAUUAGGUCAGUGUUUCACGAGAAUAAAGUUCCAAAGCUUUUUAUGGAGUCUGAGGAU
rnacentral:lncRNA from 1 species